GGUCGAGUCGGCCUGCGCGGAAGAUGUAACGGGGCUAAACCAUGCACCGAAGCUGCGGCAGCGACACUAUGUGUUGUUGGGUAGGGGAGCGUUCUGUAAGCCUGUGAAGGUGUGUCGUGAGGCAUGCUGGAGGUAUCAGAAGUGCGAAUGCUGACAUAAGUAACGAUAAAGCGGGUGAAAAGCCCGCUCGCCGGAAGACCAAGGGUUCCUGUCCAACGUUAAUCGGGGCAGGGUGAGUCGACCCCUAAGGCGAGGCCGAAAGGCGUAGUCGAUGGGAAACGGGUUAAUAUUCCCGUACUUGGUGUUACUGCGAAGGGGGGACGGAGAAGGCUAUGUUGGCCGGGCGACGGUUGUCCCGGUUUAAGCGUGUAGGUGUGUGUUCCAGGUAAAUCCGGUUCACUUUAACACUGAGGCGUGACGACGAGGCACUACGGUGCUGAAGCAACAAAUGCCCUGCUUCCAGGAAAAGCCUCUAAGCAUCAGGUAACAUCAAAUCGUACCCCAAACCGACACAGGUGGUCAGGUAGAGAAUACCAAGGCGCUUGAGAGAACUCGGGUGAAGGAACUAGGCAAAAUGGUGCCGUAACUUCGGGAGAAGGCACGCUGACACGUAGGUGAAGUGAUUUACUCAUGGAGCUGAAGUCAGUCGAAGAUACCAGCUGGCUGCAACUGUUUAUUAAAAACACAGCACUGUGCAAACACGAAAGUGGACGUAUACGGUGUGACGCCUGCCCGGUGCCGGAAGGUUAAUUGAUGGGGUCAGCGCAAGCGAAGCUCCUGAUCGAAGCCCCGGUAAACGGCGGCCGUAACUAUAACGGUCCUAAGGUAGCGAAAUUCCUUGUCGGGUAAGUUCCGACCUGCACGAAUGGCGUAAUGAUGGCCAGGCUGUCUCCACCCGAGACUCAGUGAAAUUGAACUCGCUGUGAAGAUGCAGUGUACCCGCGGCAAGACGGAAAGACCCCGUGAACCUUUACUAUAGCUUGACACUGAACAUUGAGCCUUGAUGUGUAG
rnacentral:rRNA from 1 species